rnacentral:rRNA from 1 species
UACGAAGGGGGCUAGCGUUGCGCGGAAUCACUGGGCGUAAAGCGCACGUAGGCGGCUUUCUAAGUCAGGGGUGAAAUCCUGGAGCUCAACUCCAGAACUGCCUUUGAUACUGGAGAGCUUGAGUCCGGGAGAGGUGAGUGGAACUCCGAGUGUAGAGGUGAAAUUCGUAGAUAUUCGGAAGAACACCAGUGGCGAAGGCGGCUCACUGGCCCGGUACUGACGCUGAGGUGCGAAAGCGUGGGGAGCAAACAGG